rnacentral:rRNA from 1 species
GACGAACGCUGGCGGCGUGCCUAAUACAUGCAAGUAGAACGCUGAAGAGAGGAGCUUGCUCUUCUUGGAUGAGUUGCGAACGGGUGAGUAACGCGUAGGUAACCUGCCUUGUAGCGGGGGAUAACUAUUGGAAACGAUAGCUAAUACCGCAUAACAAUGGAUGACACAUGUCAUUUAUUUGAAAGGGGCAAUUGCUCCACUACAAGAUGGACCUGCGUUGUAUUAGCUAGUAGGUGAGGUAAUGGCUCACCUAGGCGACGAUACAUAGCCGACCUGAGAGGGUGAUCGGCCACACUGGGACUGAGACACGGCCCAGACUCCUACGGGAGGCAGCAGUAGGGAAUCUUCGGCAAUGGGGGCAACCCUGACCGAGCAACGCCGCGUGAGCGAAGAAGGUUUUCGGACCGUAAAGCUCUGUUGUAAGUCAAGAACGGGUGUGAGAGUGGAAAGUUCACACUGUGACGGUAGCUUACCAGAAAGGGACGGCUAACUACGUG